rnacentral:misc_RNA from 1 species
CUAUACGGAACGGGGAUCCAGGGGCUGAUCUCGUCGCUCGAGCCGUGCACGGAGUUCUACAGCUCGUUGUACGGUUUGUCCGGUGGCGACACCGGCUGUUUCUCGAUGUUUGCGCCGACGCGGUGGCAGAGGAGAGCCGCGACUUCAGGGAAAGCAAUGGCCAUAGCUGUGCACCCAACACAGGAAAGCACAGAGAACAAGAGAAUUCAAACAAAACCGAGAAGGGUGGUUGUGACAGGGAUGGGUGUGGUGACUCCACUUGGCCAUGAUCCAGAUGUGUUAUACAAUAAUCUGCUCGAG